UGGGGAUUAUUGCACAAUGGGCGAAAGCCUGAUGCAGCGACGCCGCGCGAGGGAUGACGGCCUUCGGGUUGUAAACCUCUUUCAGUAGGGACGAAGCGCAAGUGACGGUACCUGCAGAAGAAGCACCGGCUAACUACGUGCCAGCAGCCGCGGUAAUACGUAGGGUGCGAGCGUUGUCCGGAAUUACUGGGCGUAAAGAGCUCGUAGGCGGUUUGUCACGUCGUCUGUGAAAUCCUAGGGCCUAACCCUGGACGUGCAGGCGAUACGGGCUGACUUGAGUACUACAGGGGGGACUGGAAUUUCUGGUGUAGCGGUGGAAUGCACAGAUAUCAGGAAGAACACCGAUGGCGAAGGCAGGUCUCUGGGUGGUAACUGACGCUGAGGAGCGAAAGCAUGGGUAGCGAACAGG
rnacentral:rRNA from 1 species